GACGAACGCUGGCGGCGUGCUUAACACAUGCAAGUCGAACGGUAAGGCCCUUCGGGGUACACGAGUGGCGAACGGGUGAGUAACACGUGGGUGAUCUGCCCUGCACUUCGGGAUAAGCCUGGGAAACUGGGUCUAAUACCGGAUAGGACCACUGCCUGCAUGGGUGGUGGUGGAAAGCUUUUGCGGUGUGGGAUGGGCCCGCGGCCUAUCAGCCUGUUGGUGGGGUGAUGGCCUACCAAGGCGACGACGGGUAGCCGGCCUGAGGGGGUGACCGGCCACACUGGGACUGGGAUACGGCCCAGACUCCUACGGGAGGCAGCAGUGGGGAAUAUUGCACAAUGGGCGCAAGCCUGAUGCAGCGACGCCGCGUGAGGGAUGACGGCCUUCGGGUUGUAAACCUCUUUCAGCACCGACGAAGCGCAAGUGACGGUAGGUGCAGAAGAAGGACCGGCCAACUACGUGCCAGCCGCCGCCGUAAAAC
rnacentral:rRNA from 1 species